GACGAACGCUGGCGGCGUGCUUAACACAUGCAAGUCGAACGGAAAGGCCCUGCUUUUGUGGGGUGCUCGAGUGGCGAACGGGUGAGUAACACGUGAGUAACCUGCCCUUGACUUUGGGAUAACUUCAGGAAACUGGGGCUAAUACCCGACAGGAGCUCCUGCUGCAUGGUGGGGGUUGGAAAGUUUCGGCGGUUGGGGAUGGACUCGCGGCUUAUCAGCUUGUUGGUGGGGUAGUGGCUUACCAAGGCUUUGACGGGUAGCCGGCCUGAGAGGGUGACCGGCCACAUUGGGACUGAGAUACGGCCCAGACUCCUACGGGAGGCAGCAGUGGGGAAUAUUGCACAAUGGGCGGAAGCCUGAUGCAGCAACGCCGCGUGCGGGAUGACGGCCUUCGGGUUGUAAACCGCUUUCGCCUGUGACGAAGCGUGAGUGACGGUAAUGGGUAAAGAAGCACCGGCUAACUACGUG
rnacentral:rRNA from 1 species